rnacentral:rRNA from 1 species
UACGAGGGUUGCAAGCGUUAUCCGGAAUUAUUGGGCGUAAAGCGUCAGUAAACUGUCUUCUAAGUCGAAUAUGAAAUCUUGGGGCUUAACCCCAAGCGCGUAUUCGAUACUGGGAGACUUGAGGUCGGUAGAGGCAGCGGGAAUUCCUGGUGUAGUAGUGAAAUGCGUUAAUAUCAGGAAGAACGCCAAUUGCGCAAGCUUGCUGCUUGGCCGCACCUGACGUCCAGUGACGAAAGCGUGGGGAGCGAACGGG